AGUGAACGCUGGCGGUAGGCCUAACACAUGCAAGUCGAACGGCAGCACAGGAGAGCUUGCUCUCUGGGUGGCGAGUGGCGGACGGGUGAGGAAUACAUCGGAAUCUACUCUGUCGUGGGGGAUAACGUAGGGAAACUUACGCUAAUACCGCAUACGGCCUACGGGUGAAAGCAGGGGACCUUCGGGCCCUGCGCGAUUGAAUGCGCCGAUGUCGGAUUAGCUAGUUGGCGGGGUAAAGGCCCACCAAGGCGACGAUCCGUAGCUGGUCUGAGAGGAUGAUCAGCCACACUGGAACUGAGACACGGUCCAGACUCCUACGGGAGGCAGCAGUGGGGAAUAUUGGACAAUGGGCGCAAGCCUGAUCCAGCCAUACCGCGUGGGUGAAGAAGGCCUUCGGGUUGUAAAGCCCUUUUGUUGGGAAAGAAAUCCAGCUGGCUAAUACCCGGUUGGGAUGACGGUACCCAAAGAAUAAGCACCGGCUAACUUCGUGCCAGCCGCCGCUGUAA
rnacentral:rRNA from 1 species